rnacentral:lncRNA from 1 species
UUUAAUUUAAAAGACAUGAAUAAUUGUGACCUUUACUUACAAAACAUAAAUAGUCCCCUCACGUACCAUCCCAAUUUCGUGCUACUGUUGACAUGACUCCGAGGGGUCAAGCUAUCCAAACACCACCUGCAGCUUACGUUAAUCGGUCUUCUUUGGGGGAGGGGAAUCCAAAUGGUUUAUCAAAGCUGGAGGGAGCCAAGGAUGCUUUACAAGAGUAUCUAAAUAUGAUAAAUCCUUUAUCUGUUAGGGUUUCAAAGGGAUAUUUGAGGCCUGUUGAGUCUUUAAUAGCCUGCUGCAAUGGUGGAAGAGAGAAACACUGGUUAGUAGUUGUGAGAGAGAAGCAGUUGCACCACCACCACCUCCACCUCCACCUCCACCUCCACCUCCACCUCCACCUCAGGUGGUUUUUGGAAAAAUAUGAGGACAAGUGGUUUGACACAG